AACAAUCGUUAGGAAGAGCGUCGCCCUCCACGCCUUCUGAGCAGCUCCAGUUUCGUAGCGCCCUCGUGUGUCUGGAGGAAGAAACGUCCUGGAUUUGAGUUUGACAGUGGUACUAGGGCACAGGGAGAAGGAAGUCGGGUCAGGCAUUGGAACUUUUUACAGGUGCCAGGAAUGAAUGUGAGAACUCAGGAUGCUUUCUUGAUGCCUUCUCAGAGGUGACUCAGUGGCGGCGCGUGAAAGGAUCCAGAAGUAACCACAAGCAGUUGAAAUCCAAGUCUUCUUCAAAAGUUGUUGAAGUCACUUCCAUGUCUGCAUGCCCACCAGCUAUGGUUGUGUAUAACCAUGUGAAUUAACUAUUGGAGAAUUAUCAUCUAUUUUGACUUUUGGAAACUAUUGAUACGGUCUAAGGGUUUUGGAAUGAUAUAGUCUAGGAGACUUGGUCAGGUUUGUUGUUUCUGCCAGCUGAAGAAUUAAAAGGCAGGAAAAAUCUGAAGACCAACAUGGAGCAGCAGAGAAAUCUUAAGCAUCGUGGGCAGAAUUAGGAGUAGAGGAAGGUGUGGGGUGACAAGCAGCUGGGGACAUCCUUCAUCCCUCAG
rnacentral:lncRNA from 1 species